UAGAUUUGAUUUAAUUUUUAUUUCCUUCCUUUUGAAUACACUCCUUAAAACUAUUUUUAAGGAUCAAAGUGUUUCAAAUCGUUUACUGUGAAGAAAUUAGAGUGUUCAAAGCAGGCGUAACCUAGCCUUUGAAUAUAUUAGCAUGGGAUAAUGAAAUAGGACUUUAGUUCUACUUUCGUUGGUUUCUAGGGCUGAAGUAAUGAUUAAUAGGGAUAGUUGGGGUCACUAGUAUUUAAUUGUCAGAGGUGAAAUUCUAAGAUUUAUUAAAGACUAACUACUGCGAAAGCAUUUGACAAGGAUGUUUUCAUUAAUCAAGAACGAAAGUUGGGGGAUCGAAGAUGAUCAGAUACCGUCGUAGUCUCAACCAUAAACUAUGCCGACCAAGGAUCCGGGGUUGUUAAUAUGGAUGACUCUCCGGGCACUUAUAGAGAAAUCAUAAGUAUUUGGACUCCGGGGGGAGUAUGGUCGCAAGGCUGAAACUUAAAGGAAUUGACGGAAGGGCACCACAAGGAGUGGAACCUGCGGUUUAAUUUGACUCAACACGGGAAAACUUACCAGGUCCAGACACAGUGAGGAUUGACAGAUUGAGAGUUCUUUCUUGAUUCUGUGAGUGGUGGUGCAUGGCCGUUUCUAGUUGGUGGAGUGAUUUGUCUGGUUAAUUCCGUUAACGAACGAGACCUUAACCUAUUAAAUAGUUAUUUAAACUUGAUUUCUUGUAAAUCAAAUGUUUAACUAACUUCUUAGAGGGACUCUUCAC
rnacentral:rRNA from 1 species